GAUGAACGUAGCGAAAUGCGAUAAGUAAUGUGAAUUGCAGAAUUCAGUGAAUCAUCGAAUCUUUGAACGCACAUUGCGCCCGCCAGUAUUCUGGCGGGCAUGCCUGUUCGAGCGUCAUUUCAACCAUCAAGCCCCAGGCUUGUGUUGGGGGCCUGCAGCUGCUGCAGCCCCCUAAAAGCAGUGGCGGACUCGCUGUCAUACCGAGCGCAGUAGUUACAUCUCGCUCUGGGCAUGGCGGCGGGCACCUGCCGUAAAACACUCUUUCUAAGGUUGACCUCGGAUCAGGUAGGAAUACCCGCUGAACUUAAGCAUAUCAAUAAGCGGAGGA
rnacentral:misc_RNA from 1 species